rnacentral:rRNA from 1 species
CCGACGGUGAGGGGUGAAAGCUGGGGGAGCAAACCGGAUUAGAUACCCGGGUAGUCCCAGCCGUAAACGAUGUGCGUUAGGUGUAUCGGUGACCACGAGUCACCGAGGUGCCGAAGAGAAAUCGUGAAACGUACCGCCUGGGAAGUACGGUCGCAAGGCUGAAACUUAAAGGAAUUGGCGGGGGAGCACCACGACAGGUGGAGCCUGCGGUUUAAUCGGACUCAACGCCGGGAAACUCACCAGAUAAGACGGCUGAAUGAUAGUCGGGCUGAAGACUCUACUUGACUAGCUGAGAGGAGGUGCAUGGCCGUCGUCAGUUCGUACUGUGAAGCAUCCUGUUAAGUCAGGCAACGAGCGAGACCCACGCCAACAGUUGCU